CUGAAAUACUGUGAAUAAUGUUAUAAAAAGUUCUUGAACUUUUGUAACAUUGCAUCUGACAAUAUUUUAUAGGAUCGAAGUCUAAGACUAGAAGUAAAGAGGAAAUUCCUUUCACUUUAGUUUGAAGAAACAGAUGAGACUCUGGACAAAGACUGCAAGCAAAGGAAGAACCAGUCACUUCACACAGAGCAUGGGAGUUUUGGCAUCACCAGUUCCAGUGAAGAAGCAAGUAACAGCAUGGGUAUUUUAGCUCACAUAUAAAAUGAAACAAACCAGAGCGAGAGAAAGAGAAUCCUGUUUCAGUACAGAUAACCUUGGUAAGUAAAAGUGUCAGAAUGUUAAUACUCACUUGUUCUUUGAUGCACAAGUGUUACCAAGUCCACUGAUCACUGCAUGACAGACCAAUAGAUGGAGAGUUGAGGUGUUGGGACAAGGAAUAAUGACUUUAUUCAGAAAGCCAGCAGACUAAGAGGAUGGAAGACUAGUGUCCCAAAGAACCAUCUUACCCAAGUUAGAAUUCAGGCUUCUUUUAUACUAAAAAGGGAGGGGGCGUGGCUAUUGUUGCAAAAUGUUUUGGUGCAGGACUCUUUUAUUCUUCUAGCUCUCUGCAUAGGUCUGGGC
rnacentral:lncRNA from 1 species